rnacentral:sRNA from 1 species
AAAACCCUUUUCAAUCUUAUAAACUUACAAAAAAAAUUUCAGAAAUAAUAAAGGCUCAGAGAAAAUAUGGGUUAGAGAUGGUUAUCAGCACUAAUA